GACGAACCGUGCGAACGUUGUUCGGAAUCACUGGGCUUAAAGGGCGCGUAGGCGGGCGGCCAAGUCGGAGGUGAAAGCCUGCAGCUCAACUGCAGAAGUGCCCCCGAUACUGGUUGUCUCGAGGGAGGUAGGGGCAUGUGGAACUUCCGGUGGAGCGGUGAAAUGCGUAGAUAUCGGAAGGAACGCCGGUGGCGAAAGCGACGUGCUGGACCUCUACUGACGCUGAGGAGCGAAAGCCAGGGGAGCAAACGGG
rnacentral:rRNA from 1 species